AUUGAACGCUGGCGGCAGGCUUAACACAUGCAAGUCGAACGAGUGGCGGACGGGUGAGUAAUGCUUGGGAAUCUGGCUUAUGGCGGGGGUUAACGACGGGAAACUGUCGCUAAUACCGCGUACCAUAGGAUGAGCCCAGGUGGGAUUAGGUCGUUGGUGGGGUAAUGGCCUACCAAGCCGACGAUCUCUAGCUGGUCUGAGAGAAUGACCAGCCACACCGGGACUGAGACACGGCCCGGACUCCUACGGGAGGCAGCAGUGGGGAAUAUUGCGCAAUGGGGGCAACCUGACGCAGCCAGGCCGCGUGAAUGAAGAAGGCCUUGGGGUGGUAAAGUUCUUUAGGUGGGGAGGCGUUACUGGCAUAGAAAGCACCGGCUAACUCCGUGCCAGCAGCCGCGGUAAUUC
rnacentral:rRNA from 1 species